UAUCAGCUUGUUGGUGGGGUAAAGGCCUACCAAGGCUAUGACGGAUAGCUGGUCUGAGAGGAUGAUCAGCCACAUUGGGACUGCGACACGGCCCAAACUCCUACGGGAGGCAGCAACUAGGAAUCUUGCACAAUGGGGGAAACCCUGAUGCAGCGACACCGCGUGAAGGAUGACGGCCUUCGGGUUGUAAACUUCUUUUAGUAGGGAAAAUAAUGAUGGUACCUAUUGAAUAAGCAGCUGCUAACUACGUGCCAGCAGCAGCGGUAAUACGUAGGCUGCGAGCGUUAUCCGGAAUUACUGGGCGUAAAGAGAUGCGUAGGCGUCCAAAUUAGUCUUUAAUUAAAGGCACAAGCUCAACUUGUGUAUGGUUAGGGAAACUGUUUGGAUUGAGGGAGACAGGGGAAGAUGGAACUUCUGGUGGAGUAGUGAAAUGCGUUGAUAUCAGAAGGAACACCAAAAGCGAAGGCAAUCUUCUAGGUCUUUUCUGACGCUAAGGCUCGAAAGCGUGGGUAGCAAAACGGAUUAGAUACCCGUGUAGUCCACGCUGUAAACGAUGGAUGCUAGAUAUUUGUAUUGGUAGGAUUUAUCCUAUAA
rnacentral:rRNA from 1 species